rnacentral:lncRNA from 1 species
CUAAGGGUUCUCAACUUUUUCAAUUUCUCUUUUGAUUUAGAAGGGUAAGUAUUAAGUAUAUUGAAUUAAUUUUUUUAAGAGUUAUGGGAAAUUUGCUAUAAUUGAAAGUUUGGCAAUAAUCAUGUGGUAUUGAUAUGUACUUGAUGUUAUAAAUAAGGAUAUAGCAAAGAAAUAUUUAUUUGGAUGUUGAUGUUGAAGAAAGUGGAAACUUUGGAAAUGGGUUUGUGAGAUAAAUGCAUAUUCUUUGAAAUUCUUGUGAUUAUAUGAUUCUAAACACUUAAAUUAAGGAUUUGAGGUUGAAAUUCUCCAAUUUUUCAGCCAUUUUCGACCUAUUGUAGUAUAGUUGCUAUUUUUGAAAAUCUGUCCAGAUAAGCACUGUUUCUGUCCAUGAUUUCGGUGACAGAUUUUAAUAUAUAGACAUUGGUGCUAGUUUUCAAUAUUCUAGAAUUAUAGUGCUAGUUUUUGUCAAUCAUCUAAUUUUGGUGGAUUUUUAAUAUUUGAAACCAAAUUAAGUGUUGAAUAUUUAGAGUUUUGUUGUUAAAAUAAUUUAUAUGAAGGAGUAUAUGUUGUUAGUGAUCUUAAUUGGGAUUAUGAAGUUGAAAAUAAAAUAUAUCAAGUUCCCAUUGGUAAAUUAAUAUUUCUAAUGGUAGGAAAAUACUCAAGGCUCCUCUAUGAAAGGAUAUGAUUUAUUGUAGAGAGAGCGUGAUAACAUUCUUGGUAUCGAAAGUGAGGAGGCGACAAGAAGAUCGAAACAAUGAUCAACUAUGACUUGGUGAGUGGAUAAAACUUAUUUUUCAGAAAUAAGCAUUCAUUAAAUUUAAAGUUACUUAUUUUAUAGAGUUAAGUUGAUAGCAUGAUUUUCAAAAUAAAUAAAUUGAUUUUAUAAUUUGUUCUUUUUAAUGUUUGAUUCAGUUCAGUUAAAUCAUUUUUGUAGCAUGUUCUAUUCGUAUUACAUGUUUCAGUAUAGCUAAAGUUAUUUCUAAAAACCACCAGAAAGUACCCACGUGAUUUUACCCAGUCUGCAUUGGUGUAAAUGUGUUUCCACAGUAUAUGACUAGUUAUGGUAAUUUUACCCGCUUUGCACUAUUGUGAAUGUGUUUCCAUAGUGUAUGACCAGAUUAUCAGAGAUCUUUGGGACCCACUCUCGUACACACAUAGGAUUUGGGCCAUGUACUAGGGUGAUUAGCCUUUGGGGCAGCUCUGCGUACGUAUGACCAGAUUAUCAGAAUAUCAGAUUUGAAUGGCUUUGCUUUGUACAUCGAGAUUACUUUGUAUGUGAGUAAAGCUAUUCAUUGGAUACCUUUUUAGUGUGAUUUUUCAAUAUUUCUACAGCUUAUCAGAUUUCAAAUUAUAGAAUUCAGUUUAUUUAGUUCUCAGAUUAAAACUUUCAGUUUAUAGUAUUGAGCAGCAGCAAUAUUUCACAGAUUUUCAUGGAUGUCAUAUUAUUUAUAUUCGCUACAUUUUACAGUUACUUAUCUAAAAUGAAGAACAAAGAAUUUUAUAAUGUAUUCAUGUUUGAUUUUAAAAGUGUUACCAGAUUUCAGAAUUUCUCGAAGUUUUAGUAGUGCAAGAAUUUUCAGAAAAUAUGCAUAAAUGAGAAAAGUUUACUUAUUUGAAAAUUAUCCACUCACUGAGUGUUAAGCUCAUAUAUUUUUUCCACAUUUUUCUUCAUCGAACAGAUAGUAGCCGAAUUGAGCAGCUUUGGAACUUGUUGAACCACAAAAUUGAGUCACACGUCAUAAGUUGCAUGACAUCCUUUAUCAGAUUAUACAUUAUGUGUUCAUUUGAGAUACAUGUAGUUUAAAUCAGAAAAGUUUAUUAUGGGCUCAUUAGAUAGUUGGUAUCUUUAGUAUAUUUGAGGAUUGUUGAGUGUAAAGUAAGUAAAUGUCGAUUUACCAACAUUUUAUUUGAAUAGUUUGUAUUUUGAGGGACUGUCUUACCCUAUUCAUAUCAUAGGUAUUGAUUUGAGGAAAACUGGUUAUUGUUCAGGUGGUUUUAGUUUAUAUUUCAGGGGAAACUCUGUCAAAAUUUCGUAAAAAAUAUUUUCCAGUCAAAUAAGCCAAGGUUGCAUUGGUGGUGAGUCCAGCAUUCAGCUGGUAACUAUCAUCGGCGCACGACACAUG